ACGGGGGGGGCAAGCGUUGUUCGGAAUUACUGGGCGUAAAGGGCUCGUAGGUGGCCAACUAAGUCGGAUGUGAAAUCCCCGGGCUCAACCUGGGAACUGCAUUUGUGACUGCAUCGCUGGAGUGCGGCAGAGGGGGAUGGAAUUCCGCGUGUAGCAGUGAAAUGCGUAGAUAUGCGGAGGAACACCGAUGGCGAAGGCAAUCCCCUGGGCCUGCACUGACGCUCAUGCACGAAAGCGUGGGGAGCAAACAGGA
rnacentral:rRNA from 1 species